AACGAACGCUGGCGGCAUGCCUAACACAUGCAAGUCGAACGAGACCUUCGGGUCUAGUGGCGCACGGGUGCGUAACGCGUGGGAACCUGCCCUUAGGUUCGGAAUAACUCCCCGAAAGGGGUGCUAAUACCGGAUAAUGUCUUCGGACCAAAGAUUUAUCGCCUUUGGAUGGGCCCGCGUUGGAUUAGCUAGUUGGUAGGGUAAAAGCCUACCAAGGCGACGAUCCAUAGCUGGUCUGAGAGGAUGAUCAGCCACACUGGGACUGAGACACGGCCCAGACUACUACGGGAGGCAGCAGUGGGGAAUAUUGGACAAUGGGCGAAAGCCUGAUCCAGCAAUGCCGCGUGAGUGAUGAAGGCCUUAGGGGUGUAAAGCUCUUUUACCCGGGAUGAUAAUGACAGUACCGGGAGAAUAAGCUCCGGCUAACUCCG
rnacentral:rRNA from 1 species